rnacentral:rRNA from 1 species
GAUGAACGCUAGCGGGAGGCCUAACACAUGCAAGCCGAGCGGUAGAGUUCCUUCGGGAACUUGAGAGCGGCGUACGGGUGCGUAACACGUGUGCAACCUACCUUUAUCUGGGGGAUAGCCUUUCGAAAGGAAGAUUAAUACCCCAUAAUAUAAUGAUUGGCAUCAAUUAUUAUUGAAAACUCCGGUGGAUAGAGAUGGGCACGCGCAAGAUUAGAUAGUUGGUGAGGUAACGGCUCACCAAGUCAAUGAUCUUUAGGGGUCCUGAGAGGGAGAUCCCCCACACUGGUACUGAGACACGGACCAGACUCCUACGGGAGGCAGCAGUGAGGAAUAUUGGACAAUGGGUGAAAGCCUGAUCCAGCCAUCCCGAGUGAAGGAUGACGGUCCUAUGGAUUGUAAACUUCUUUUGUACAGGGAUAAACCUACUCUCGUGAGGGUAGCUGAAGGUACUGUACGAAUAAGCACCGGCUAACUCCGUG